AACGAACGCUGGCGGCAUGCCUAACACAUGCAAGUCGAACGAACCCUUCGGGGUUAGUGGCGCACGGGUGCGUAACGCGUGGGAAUCUGCCCUUUGCUUCGGAAUAACAGUUAGAAAUGACUGCUAAUACCGGAUAAUGUCUUCGGACCAAAGAUUUAUCGGCAAAGGAUGAGCCCGCGUAGGAUUAGCUAGUUGGUGGGGGUAAAAGCUCACCAAGGCGACGAUCCUUAGCUGGUCUGAGAGGAUGAUCAGCCACACUGGGACUGAGACACGGCCCAGACUCCUACGGGAGGCAGCAGUGGGGAAUAUUGGACAAUGGGCGAAAGCCUGAUCCAGCAAUGCCGCGUGAGUGAUGAAGGCCUUAGGUUGUAAAGCUCUUUACCAGGGAUGAUAAUGACAGUACCUGGAGAAUAAGCUCCGGCUAACUCCGUGCCA
rnacentral:rRNA from 1 species